rnacentral:rRNA from 1 species
CCUACGGGUGGCAGCAGUGGGGAAUAUUGCUCAAUGGGGGCAACCCUGAAGCAGCAACGCCGCGUGGAGGAUGACUGUUUUCCGAUUGUAAACUCCUUUUGUUAGAGAAAUUAAUGACGGUAUCUAACGAAUAAUCACCGGCUAACUCCGUUCCAGCAGCCGCGGUACUACGGAGGGUGCCAGCGUUACUCGGAAUCACUGGGCGUAAAGAGCGCGUAUGCGGGAUAGCAAGUCAGAUGUGAAAUCCUAUGGCUUAACCAUAGAACUGCAAUUGAAACUGUUAUUCUAGAGUAUGGGAGAGGUAGGUGGAAUUCUUGGUGUAGGGGUAAAAUGCGUAGAGAUCAAGAGGAAUACUGAUUGCGAAGGCGACUUGCUAGAACAUCACUGACGCUGAUGCGCGAAAGUGUGGGGAGCAAACAGGAUUAGAUACCCGGGUAGUC